rnacentral:rRNA from 1 species
GUAAAGCACUUUCAGUCGUGAGGAAGGUAGUGUAGUUAAUAGCUGCAUUAUUUGACGUUAGCGACAGAAGAAGCACCGGCUAACUCCGUGCCAGCAGCCGCGGUAAUACGGAGGGUGCGAGCGUUAAUCGGAAUUACUGGGCGUAAAGCGCAUGCAGGUGGUUUGUUAAGUCAGAUGUGAAAGACCCGGGGCGUCAACCUCGGAAUAGCAUUUGAAACUGGCAGACUAGAGUACUGUAGAGGGGGGUAGGAAUUUCAGGUGUAGCGGUGAAAUGCGUAGAGAUCUGAAGGAAUACCGGUGGCGAAGGCGGCCCCCUGGACAGAUACUGACACUCAGAUGCGAAAGCGUGGGGAGCAAACAGGAUUAGAUACCCUGGUAG